rnacentral:rRNA from 1 species
CAUGGGAUGAGCUGUGGAUAGCGGAGAAAUUCCAAUCGAACUCGGAGAUAGCUGGUUCUCCUCGAAAUAGCUUUAGGGCUAGCGUCGGAUAUGAGUAAUGGAGGUAGAGCACUGAAUGGGCUAGGGGGCAUAUUGCUUACCGAACCUUAUCAAACUCCGAAUGCCAUAUACUAUUAGUCCGGCAGUCAGACUGCGAAUGAUAAGGUCCGUAGUCAAGAGGGAAACAACCCAGAUCGUCAGCUAAGGUCCCAAAGUGUAAGUUAAGUGGUAAAGGAUGUGGGAUUUCUAAGACAACUAGGAUGUUGGCUUAGAAGCAGCCACUCAUUUAAAGAGUGCGUAAUAGCUCACUAGUCGAGAGAUCCUGCGCCGAAGAUGUCCGGGGCUCAAACUUACCACCGAAGCUACGAAUAGCAGAUAUCAGAUGUGAGAUAACAGAUAAGAGAAUUAAAAUUUCUCCUUCGGAGAAAUUAAAAAAAUCUGACACCUGUUACCUGACACCUGAUAUCUGCUGUGGUAGAGGAGCAUCCUGUACGGGCUGAAGUCAUACCGAAAGGAGUGGUGGACUGUACAGGAGAGAGAAUGCUGGAAUAAGUAGCGAGAAAAGAGUGAGAAUCUCUUUGGUCGAAAACCUAAGGUUUCCUGGGGAAGGCUCGUCCGCCCAGGGUUAGUCGGGACCUAAGCUCAGGCCGAAAGGCGUAGGCGAUGGACAAUCGGUUGAUAUUCCGAUACCACUACAACGCGUUAUUACCGAUGGGGUGACGCAGGAGGAUAAGAUGUGCUCACUAUUGGAUGUGGGUCUAAGUACUUAGGCAGAACAGAUAGGCAAAUCCGUCUGUUCAAUGCUGAGGUGCGAUGGGGAGCGAAAUUUUAGUAGCGAAGUAUCUGAUUCCACGCUGCCAAGAAAAGCCUCUAGGGAGUGAAGUAGUGCCCGUACCGCAAACCGACACAGGUAGGUGAGGAGAGAAUCCUAAGACCAGCGGAAGAAUUGCAGUUAAGGAACUAGGCAAAUUGACCCCGUAACUUCGGGAGAAGGGGUGCCUACGAGAGUAGGCCGCAGAGAAUAGGCCCAAGCAACUGUUUAGCAAAAACACAGGUCUCUGCUAAAGCGAAAGCUGAUGUAUAGGGGCUGACGCCUGCCCGGUGCUGGAAGGUUAAGGGGAUUGCUUAGCGCAAGCGAAGGCAUGAACUUAAGCCCCAGUAAACGGCGGCCGUAACUAUAACGGUCCUAAGGUAGCGAAAUUCCUUGUCGGGUAAGUUCCGACCCGCACGAAUGGCGUAAUGAUUUGGGCACUGUCUCAACUGCAAAUCCGGCGAAAUUGUAGUGCAAGUGAAGAUGCUUGCUACCCGCGAUUGGACGGAAAGACCCCGUAGAGCUUUACUGUAGCUUAGCAUUGAGUUUCGGUAUUAUCUGUACAGGAUAGGUGGGAGACUUGGAAGCAAGGGCGUCAGCCUUUGUGGAGUCACCCUUGGGAUACCACCCUGAUGAUACUGAGAUUCUAACCGGAGGCCAUGAAUCUGGUCACGGGACAUUGUUAGGCGGGCAGUUUGACUGGGGCGGUCGCCUCCUAAAAUGUAACGGAGGCGCUCAAAGGUUCCCUCAGAACGGUUGGAAAUCGUUCGAAGAGUGCAAAGGCAGAAGGGAGCCUAACUGCGACACCUACAAGUGGAGCAGGGACGAAAGUCGGACUUAGUGAUCCGGUGGUACCUCGUGGGAGGGCCAUCGCUCAACGGAUAAAAGCUA